UAAGGUGCAUUGGUAGGAGAGCGUUCUAAGGGCGUUGAAGGUAGAUCGUGAGGACUACUGGAGCGCUUAGAAGUGAGAAUGCCGGUAUGAGUAGCGAAAGACAGGUGAGAAUCCUGUCCACCGUAUGACUAAGGUUUCCUGGGGAAGGCUCGUCCGCCCAGGGUUAGUCGGGACCUAAGCCGAGGCCGACAGGCGUAGGCGAUGGACAACAGGUUGAUAUUCCUGUACCCGUUGUUUUUGUUUGAGCAAUGGAGGGACGCAGGAGGCUAAGAAGUGCAGACUGAUGGAUAUGUCUGUUCAAGCAGUGAGUCUUAGUGGGAGUCAAAUGCUUCUACUUUCAAGGACAAGCUGUGAUGAGGAGGGAAAUAAUAGUACCGAAGCUUCUGAUGUCACACUGCCAAGAAAAGCUUCUAGUGAGAAAACAAUGGCCCGUACCGCAAACCGACACAGGUAGUCGAGGAGAGCAUCCUAAGGUGAGCGA
rnacentral:rRNA from 1 species